rnacentral:tRNA from 1 species
GGGGGCGUAGUUCAGUUGGUUAGAACGCCGGCCUGUCACGCCGGAGGCCGCGGGUUCGAGUCCCGUCGCUCCCGCCC